rnacentral:rRNA from 1 species
CGUGCUUAACACAUGCAAGUCGAGCGGUAAGGCCCUUCGGGGUACACGAGCGGCGAACGGGUGAGUAACACGUGGGUGAUCUGCCCUGUACUUCGGGAUAAGCCUGGGAAACUGGGUCUAAUACCGGAUAUGACCUUACAUCGCAUGGUGUUUGGUGGAAAGAUUUAUCGGUACAGGAUGGGCCCGCGGCCUAUCAGCUUGUUGGUGGGGUAAUGGCCUACCAAGGCGACGACGGGUAGCCGGCCUGAGAGGGCGACCGGCCACACUGGGACUGAGACACGGCCCAGACUCCUACGGGAGGCAGCAGUGGGGAAUAUUGCACAAUGGGCGAAAGCCUGAUGCAGCGACGCCGCGUGAGGGAUGACGGCCUUCGGGUUGUAAACCUCUUUCGACAGGGACGAAGCGCAAGUGACGGUACCUGUAGAAGAAGCACCGGCCAACUACGUGCCAGCAGCCGCGGUAAUACGUAGGGUGCGAGCGUUGUCCGGAAUUACUGGGCGUAAAGAGCUUGUAGGCGGUUUGUCGCGUCGUCCGUGAAAACUUGGGGCUCAACCCCAAGCUUGCGGGCGAUACGGGCAGACUUGAGUACUGCAGGGGAGACUGGAAUUCCUGGUGUAGCGGUGAAAUGCGCAGAUAUCAGGAGGAACACCGGUGGCGAAGGCGGGUCUCUGGGCAGUAACUGACGCUGAGAAGCGAAAGCGUGGGUAGCGAACAG